rnacentral:rRNA from 1 species
CCACCGCGGUUAGACGAGAGGCCCUAGUUGACCAUACAACGGCGUAAAGGGUGGUUAAGGAUAUAUUAAAAUAAAGCCAAAUGGCCCUUUGGCCGUCAUACGCUUCUAGGUGUCCGAAGCCCCAACACGAAAGUAGCUUUAAUAACCAACCUGACCCCACGAAAGCUGAGAAACAAACUGGGAUUAGAUACCCCACUAUGCUCAGCCGUAAACUUAGACACCCAACUACAAUUUGGUGUCCGCCAGGGUACUACGAGCAUUAGCUUAAAACCCAAAGGACCUGACGGUGUCUCAGACCCCCCUAGAGGAGCCUGUUCUAGAACCGAUAACCCCCGUUAAACCUCACCACUCCUAGUCACCCCAGCCUAUAUACCGCCGUCGUCAGCUUACCCUGUGAAGGCAACAAAAGUAAGCAAAAUGGGUAUAACCCAGAACGUCAGGUCGAGGUGUAGCGAAUGAAGUGGAAAGAAAUGGGCUACAUUUUCUAUUACAGAACAUAACGAACAUGCACUAUGAAAUAAUGCUUGAAGGAGGAUUUAGUAGUAAAAAGGAAAUAGAGUGUCCCUUUGAACCCGGCUCUGAGACGCGUACACACCGCCCGUCACUCUCCCCUGUCAAAACGCACCAAAAAUACCUAAUCAAUUAGCAAUGACGAGGGGAGGCAAGUCGUAACACG